rnacentral:rRNA from 1 species
GAUGAACGCUGGCGGCGUGCCUAAUACAUGCAAGUCGAGCGAACAGACGAGGAGCUUGCUCCUCUGACGUUAGCGGCGGACGGGUGAGUAACACGUGGAUAACCUACCUAUAAGACUGGGAUAACUUCGGGAAACCGGAGCUAAUACCGGAUAAUAUAUUGAACCGCAUGGUUCAAUAGUGAAAGACGGUUUUGCUGUCACUUAUAGAUGGAUCCGCGCCGCAUUAGCUAGUUGGUAAGGUAACGGCUUACCAAGGCAACGAUGCGUAGCCGGCCUGAGAGGGUGAUCGGACACACUGGAACUGAGACACGGUCCAGACUCCUACGGGAGGCAGCAGUAGGGAAUCUUCCGCAAUGGGCGAAAGCCUGACGGAGCAACGCCGCGUGAGUGAUGAAGGUCUUAUGAUCGUAAAACUCUGUUAUUAGGGAAGAACAAAUGUGUAAGUAACUAUGCACGUCUUGACGGUACCUAAUCAGAAAGCCACGGCUAACUACGUGCCAGCAGCCGCCGUAA